GCCCGGUUAGCUCAGUCGGUAAAGCAUGAGACUCUUAAUCUCAGGCAUGGCUACGUUCGCGGUGGAAUACUCCACCGGUUCAUUUCCACCUGGUG
rfam:Cavia porcellus supercont2_243 genomic scaffold, whole genome shotgun sequence.